AGCGAACGCUGGCGGCAGGCUUAACACAUGCAAGUCGAGCGGGCGUAGCAAUACGUCAGCGGCAGACGGGUGAGUAACGCGUGGGAACAUACCUCUUGGUUCGGAACAACACAGGGAAACUUGUGCUAAUACCGGAUAAGCCCUUACGGGGAAAGAUUUAUCGCCGAGAGAUUGGCCCGCGUCUGAUUAGCUAGUUGGUGAGGUAACGGCUCACCAAGGCGACGAUCAGAGCUGGUCUGAGAGGAUGAUCAGCCACAUUGGGACUGAGACACGGCCCAAACUCCUACGGGAGGCAGCAGUGGGGAAUAUUGGACAAUGGGCGCAAGCCUGAUCCAGCCAUGCCGCGUGAGUGAUGAAGGCCCUAGGGUUGUAAAGCUCUUUUGUGCGGGAAGAUAAUGACGGUACCGCAAGAAUAAGCCCCGGCUAACUUCGU
rnacentral:rRNA from 1 species